CUACGGGUUGCUGCAGUAGGGAAUAUUGCACAAUGGGCGAAAGCCUGAUGCAGCAACGCCGCGUGCGCGAUGAAGGCCUUCGGGUUGUAAAGCGCUUUUCUGAGGGAUGAGAAAGGACAGUACCUCAGGAAUAAGGAUCGGCUAACUACGUGCCAGCAGCCGCGGUAAAACGUAGGAUCCGAGCGUUAUCCGAAUUUACUGGGCGUAAAGCGUGUGUAGGUGGUUUGGUAAGUUGGAUGUGAAAGCUCCUGGCUUAACUAGGAGAGGCCGUUCAAAACUGCCAGACUAGAGGGCGGUAGAGGAAGGUGGAAUUCCCGGUGUAGUGGUGAAAUGCGUAGAUAUCGGGAGGAACACCAGUGGCGAAGGCGGCCUUCUGGGCCGUCCCUGACACUGAGACGCGAAAGCUAGGGGAGCAAACGGGAUUAGAUACCCUCGUAGUC
rnacentral:rRNA from 1 species